rnacentral:rRNA from 1 species
UACAGAGGUGGCGAGCGUUGUUCGGAUUUACUGGGCGUAAAGGGUGCGUAGGUGGUUUAGUGUGUCGGGCGUGAAAUCCCACUGCUCAACGGUGGAACGCCGUCCGAAACUACUUGACUUGAGUGCAGGAGAGGAGAGCGGAAUUCUUGGUGUAGCGGUGGAAUGCGUUGAUAUCAAGAAGAACACCGGUGGCGUAGGCGGCUCUCUGGAAUGCAACUGACACUGAGGCACGAAAGUUGGGGGAGCAAACAGG